UCUAGGGAGUUUCUCUAGAACGUCGACCGGGCUCCCCAGUGGCAUAACGCCGCUGGGAACGCUGCUCAGUUUUGAGAGACCGCCAGCGGAAGUACUCCGCUGUGUGUGCCUCGGUGGAUCUUGAAAACUGUACAAGGCCAAUAAUUAGAACCUGUCGCAAGGCAGGUUCUGGGUAAUUUAAUACGACCCGCACACUUCGGUGUACGGGUCGCUCACCGUCAAGAUAGUAAGGGCUUACGGUGGAUGCCUUGGCACCAGGAGUCGAUGAAGGACGUGGACGGCUGCGUUAAGCCGCGGUGAGGCGCUGAACAGCCAUUGACCCGCGGAUUUCCG
rnacentral:misc_RNA from 1 species